UGCACAGGCGAGGCUCAAACCUGUGAUCCUUCCGCCUCAGCCACCCAGUGUGCUGGGAUGACAGGUGUGCACCAUUAUCCGGGGCUCGUGGACACAGCAAAGCUCGUGGACGCAGUAAAGUCCGAGAAUUGGCACCUGGGUGCUUCUGAUUCUCGAGUCUGCAUCUCCUGGAAUUCCGAUGCAGAGCUCUCUAGGUCCCCGGCACUUCAGGUGCUAAGCAUAAGCUCCUAGGCGUCGCACCUACCACCUCAAAUAUUUCUCAGAUAUUAAGAUCCUACCAUGUGGUCCUCUGAGCUUCGUCUCUGGUGUCGGCUUCUUCCAUUUACUCCAACCAGGAGCACAUUCGCUCAUUCAGCCAGACAUGGCAGCAUUUCAGGACUUGGGGGGGGGGGGUGAGACAGGGUCUUGUUAUGUAGUCCAAUCUCUCUUGAACUCACUAUGUAGUCCAGAAUGGCCUGAACUUGCGAUUCCCCUCCCUCAGCCUCCCGAGUUUCGAGAUUACAGUUGUGUGGCACCACGCCUGACUGCAGUGUGAUCUUUUAAAAUCCAGACCUGCCUUGCUGGUCAACCAGGACCGCGUGUUCCUUCACGAGCCCGGAGCCCGACAGCCUCUCCUGCAUCCUCACGCCGGGCUCUGGCCACGCCCCCUGCCAGGGGCUCACCCGCGCCCCUCCUCGGCAGCUGCGCCUCGCCGGGCCUCUCCGGGCCUCGCCGGGCCCCGGGAGGGGAAGGGGCUCCACCUGCGCGCCACCUGCUGGGCCGCCCGACCUCCCGCAGACCCGGCCAGACCUCGGCGAAGCUCACGCCUCCGGGCUGCACAUCCGCGCCGGCCGCAAGCUCCAGGACGCGGCGGCGAGCCUGAGCCGCUGCGCAUGCGCGCAGGUGCGCGUGCACGCAACAGCCCGCACGCACCGGCACGCACGCGCCCGGCCAGUGAGACUAGGAAGGACAGGUUUGGGUUUGGGGUUUUUUGUUUGUUUGUUUGUUUGUUUUGGGGGGCCUUCGCGCUGAGCUGCAUCCUCGGCCCUUUUUAUUUGCCGACAGAAUCUGGAUGAGUCAGUAAGUUGUCCUGGCGGGGCUUCUCCUUCCUCAGGCUCCCUCGUGCUGAACUCUGGGCGCGCGCCCAGCUGAGGACGUGGCCCGAGGGAGGGAGGUCAGCGGGAGCUUCACAACGUUUGGCCCUGGUUGUGCGCCCUGCAGGGUGUGCCGUGAAGCUGUUGGUGGUUCUGAGGGCAAUCAUAAGCCUGGGGAAGCGUGUACUGUACUGUGUAAUAAUGAAGACAGCAGUUAUCCGCACUUUGAAAGCAAGUUUUGCAAAAUAGUUACGCACUUCCUUUGAGUGAUGAGUUCUAAUAAGCCACAUCCUGUAGGACAUCAGCACACCUUUGGGGGCAACACAGGACUGAGAUGUAGCCUGCACAGAGGCUGUCCUGGACACAGAAGCAGGUGAAUUGCUGGCCCACAAUGCAGCCUCAUAGAUCUGUGCCGAGCGGAUCCAAGGGACCAGGGUAGGUGCUGUUGCCUCCACUCACAGUGAGGAGAACAGAGCCCGGCUGUGAUGCUGCUCUGAAGAAGACCGUGCGGCUCGCGCUUAGUCGGGGAUGGGCAGGAAGCGGACGGCGGUAGGCAAUACCGGCGCUUGGGUUGGGGCUCUCAGAACUGGAGCCCUUCCUCCUGACCCCGGCCUCCCAGAGCUCCUGGUCUGAAGCUGAAAUACAGCGAGUGGGUCAGAGACCCCCAGGAAGGGCUGAGGGAGGCGCGGGCGGAGGAGGCCCUGAUCCGGAGAGCCAGCCAGUGCCCGGUACUUCUGAGAGUCCACAGCCCCAGCCCUAAAAGGAGGUCUGCUGGUUUACUUAGGAGAGGCUCCACGGCUGGCACCAGUCACUUCUGACACAUUAGAUAAAGUCUGUCAUUGUGGCAUCUGAGUUCAAGGUUUUACUUCACCUUGAGCAGGAAAACGCAUUUUGCAGCUAGAUCCAUUCACUUCCCAUGGUCUUCAUUUCUCAGAACCAGUUUAUCCAGGCCAAGGCAGACCUUCGUCCAGCCUGAAGAAAACAGCCAUUAAUGAUAGUUAACAUAUUAAUUGCAGAGUGCUUCUCUCUAAGUUUCUGUUGGCAACAAGUUGCAGCCCAGCAGAGCCAGUGAAGUGCAUCCAGCUUCCAUUUACAACCUCUGGGCGGGCUUUUCAUCUUCAUGCUUCAGGAUUUUCAUUAUUAUGGUUGCCAACAGUCCAGGCCUGUAAUUUACAAGUCAGACCCACAUGUCACUUCGAGAGAAACUCAAUCCUAAAAAUAGUCGUGAAACUCAGGAAAACACCAACCCAGAUAAAUAAAUCUCAUGUCAAAUGUAGAAAGCUUGUAAACCCUAGGCUCAGGGUUACACUAACUACUUAAAUUUCAACUGAUUUUAGCAAGUACAUCCACCAGCCCAGGGGAGGUGGCGAAGAUGCUCCCCCUCAGUGUUUUGCUUUCUUCUGUCUGUGACUGUUCAUUCAUUUCUUAGGUAAAAUACUGCUCUUUCUACAACAGCCAGGGUGAAACUUCCAUUUGGACGACAUUCUCCCAAAAUGUUGCACCAUUAAAGGCCAAGGUAGCCUUUCAAGGUGGCCCACACCUGCAUCCCACACUCAGAGGAUGAGGCAGGGGGAGUGAAAGUUUGAGCCCAGCCUAGGCAGUUUAGCAAGAGGUUUCUAGAUGUCCCCCAAAGUGUUGUCCGCUCACAUAGGGCUUUUGGAAGGUGAGUGGGUAACGGGGCACCACUGCUGGCUUGCCCCAGUUAGGUCUGGUUGGAAGUGGGGGGUCACUGGGGGCAGGGGGCAGGGCUUAUCUCCCUGCAGGGCCCCCUCUGCUUCCUGUCUGCCCUGCGGUGAGCAGCUCUCAAACUCCUCCACCACCUCUCUGUGCCCAGGCUCUACCACCACAUCUCUGACCAUGCCAGGACUGAAACUUCUAAAACACAAACCACAGGAAGCCUUUCCUUUAAGUUGCCCAUGCUUGGUAUUUUGUCCUAGCGAGGAGAAAAGUGCCUAAGACACCCUGUCUCAAAAUAGGAAAUAGAAAGGGCUGGAGAUAUGUCUGGGUGGAAGGACCCCACCUGCCUCCUGUGCGUAAGGCCCUGGGUGCCACCCUGUACAGGGGGAAGGGAAGAGCUGUGCAUGUGUGCACAGGCACGGGCCCCUGGGGGGUGGUCAGGGUCCAGAGCCUCACGGGAGGAAGGGUCUCCGGAGAGCAUGAGAAGGCCAACCAUGGGCCGGUGGGCCAGAAGCAGGUUGUGUCCUUCAAAGUGUCUCCUCCGGGAGGCUCUACUCCCUGUUCCCUGGGGUAUAUCUGGCUUAUGGGGCUGUGUCAGCCCAGGUUUCCCAGCAGUCAUGGAUUUUAGAUAAGUGAAGUUCUGAGGGGGCUUUUAUUCCCCCAGCUGGUGAAUCUCAGGUUUGAAUCAUCUUUGAACCAACUCUGGGUCCCCAAAGUCCAAGGAUGUAGAAGGAAAAGCAGCUCCAGCUCAGACUCAGUUUCUCCUCCACUGAUGAUAGAUUCCUCUGACACCGUGUGGUGAGCUUUCCCUGAAUGUGAGCAAGUGGCAGCUCCAUAGCCCACUUCAGUGGGGCGCUCUCUGGUCAGAGGUCCAAAGUGAGUUUCACUGGACAAACAUCAAGGUGUCAGUAGGUUGGGGCACUGCGACUCAAGCCUGGGUUCCUGGUACUCUGGAGGUGAAGGUGGACAAUCUGAUCCUGGGAGUUCAAGACCAACCUGGACAACACAGCCAGAGCCUGUCUGUAAAAAUGUAAAUAAAAUCAAUUUAAAAAGAAAA